GAUGAACGCUGGCGGCGUGCCUAAUACAUGCAAGUCGAGCGAACGGACGAGAAGCUUGCUUCUCUGAUGUUAGCGGCGGACGGGUGAGUAACACGUGGAUAACCUACCUAUAAGACUGGGAUAACUACGGGAAACCGUAGCUAAUACCGGAUAAUAUUUUGAACCGCAUGGUUCAAAAGUGAAAGACGGUCUUGCUGUCACUUAUAGAUGGAUCCGCGCUGCAUUAGCUAGUUGGUAAGGUAACGGCAUACCAAGGCAACGAUGCAUAGCCGACCUGAGAGGGUGAUCGGCCACACUGGAACUGAGACACGGUCCAGACUCCUACGGGAGGCAGCAGUAGGGAAUCUUCCGCAAUGGGCGAAAGCCUGACGGAGCAACGCCGCGUGAGUGAUGAAGGUCUUCGGAUCGUAAAACUCUGUUAUUAGGGAAGAACAUAUGUGUAAGUAACUGUGCACAUCUUGACGGUACCUAAUCAGAAAGCCACGGCUAACUACGUG
rnacentral:rRNA from 1 species